rnacentral:rRNA from 1 species
GUGCCAGCCGCCGCGGUAAUACCGGCAGCCCGAGUGAUGACCGAUCUUAUUGGGCCUAAAGCGUCCGUAGCUGGCUACGCAAGUCCGUCGGGAAAUCCACCCGCCCAACGGGUGGCCGUCCGGUGGAAACUACACGGCUUGGGACCGGAAGGCGCGACGGGUACGUCCGGGGUAGGAGUGAAAUCCCGUAAUCCCGGACGGACCACCGAUGGCGAAAGCACUCUGAGAAGACGGCUUCGACAGUGAGGGACGAAAGCUAGGGUCUCAAACCGGAUUAGAUACCCGUGUAGUCC